GCAUGGCUCCCAGCAGGGAGCUGCACCCCCUACUCCAGCAGCAUCUCCUUUCUCCAGGGGAACUCAGCUCACAGACCCCCCCAGCACCCCAGGGCUUCUCACCCACACAGCACAUCCCAGAUACCCGCAUGCUGCCCCGGGCAAGGCUCUUCUUUCUGUCCCUGCUGCCCGCCCCUAACAGCAUGGGGCACAGACCACAGCAGGGCAAAGGAUGUCUACUCUGCACCAGCCUAGGGGGAUGGCACAGUGGGCCUGGAAUCCAGUGCCAAGCCCCAAGGCUGUCUGGGCUGCAGGGCUCCCAGCCUCUGCCAAUGCAGGGGAAGGAUCCAGCUGGGUCAUAGAGCAGCCCAGGGACCUCACCACAUGCAGGGGCACAAAGCCCAGCCCCAGUCUGGCCUGUGGGGUAGCCCCAAGCGCUAGCCACCAUGGCCAGCUUCUGCAGCAUGCCCACCUGCUGGCAGCUGGGGAAAGAAGUGGGACCAGGCAUCAAACCCAGGUCUCCCCCAGGGCUAAUCACAGCGCUAGCCAACAGCCCUGACCGGCUUCUGCAGCACCUGGCUACAGGGCCAUCAGAACGGAUGGGGAACUGGGUCUUCAGCCAACCGACACUGACCUCAGCGCUCCCUAGCUGCCUUUAACAGGAAACCAUGUGAUUUUCUGGAAAGCCCCGUUCCAAGGGGAGUCCAUCCUCCCCAGCACAAGGAAUCUGGAGCUGUACCUCCCAGCUAAGAAGGAGCACAGCGCUGGACACUAGGGGGCCAGAGAAACUCUUUUGCAGGGAGCAGCUCGGUGGGGUUGGUACAAGGGCAGCAGCUGCAUCCAAAGACACAGUGACAGGAGAGGAACAAACUGUGAGGAACAUUUGUUGCUCAACCUCCUCCCUUCUGAGUCUCCGGCGAGAGAGCUGGUGGGGUUCAUGCCCAAGCCCGUCUGUCUAGGGAGCGAACAAAUGGGCAACAAGCGGAAGAAACUUUGCAUCUGCCUGGUAGGUGCCUUCGUCCUCAUAUUAGCUGCCAUAUUAAUCGCUCUCACCUGCUAUGUGGUCGAGUGCCAGGGGCAGCUGAAGACCUCAGAUCUGGAUGAGAAACUCGCCAACCUGGAGGAGGAGAAGGGGGCCCUGGAAAAGCAGCGGGAUGGGGCGAGGGCAGAGGUCACGGCUCUGCGGUCAGACCUGGCCGGCACCAAUCAGACCCAUCUGGGAGACGCGCGGGCGCUGGGACUCCUGCAGGAGCCUGACGCAUAACCUGCAGAACAACAUCACUGCCCUGAGCGACAAAAUAACACGGCUGGAAGCCAGAGACUCUGAGCGGGAGGCCAAGGAACAGGGUUUACAAGAGAUCAGCUCAACGCUAACAUCCAUUGGCUGAAAAUGGAGCUCCAAAGCCAGAGAAAUCAGCGCUCCAGCACGGACAGCCUCAGCGGUCACAGUGUGUCUCUCUGCCUGGCUCUGCCCCUCCUUGGGACUCUUCUCCUUUAAGAGGAGCAGCUUUGUACAGGUAUCGAGGAGCCUGGCUUGUCCAGAGACCCCUCCUGCUGUCUGACUCCCAGGUUCUUGGGCAGAGGGGUCUUGUCCUGUCACCUCAGCCACCUGUCUCUGUGCCUGCUCAUCUCUGACCACUCCACAUGCUCUCCCCACGGCAGGCGAGAGAGCUGUCUCCUGUGCAGUUCCCCCUACCUCGCCUGGCUUCACUGAACAGUCCAUCUCAUUCCAAGUGUCCUCCCAGCGCAUAGCAGUGCUGCCAGGUCCCAGCUGAAGUCAGGGCCCACCUGUGCCAGGCCAGACACAGCUCGCAGACCAAAUAGCAGCACAGGAGAAAAAAGAAAGAUCAUUAUCUCCUUUUUAUAACUGGGAAACUGAAGCACAAGGCGAUUAGUGAGUCGCCUCAGGAGCACAUGGUAGAGUCAAGAUUUGAACUCAGCUCUCCUGAGCACCAGCAUGUAACCCUAAGGCCGCACUUCCUCUCCAGUCCUCCCUUGCCUACAUCUCCUUUCUCUCUCCCUCUGCUGUUCUUUAGCUCAGUGCAUUGGGUCAGGGGAUGGGGACACAGGACUGUCUCUCUCUCUCUCCGUUUAUUUCCAUCAUCCGUCCCCAAUGCCCUUUCGAUCCCUCGGGGUUUGUGUUUCAGGGCUGACCAGGCAGUGGAAGAGUGGAGAAUCCCCACAGGAACACAGUGCAUAGCGCAGCCAGCUCGCUUCCCUCCAAUUCACCCUCAGGUCUAAGCCACUAGCUUGCUACAACCUUGGCCCUUCCCUGGGUCGUGCAGGGAGACUGGUUCCUGCGCAGCCCAGCCCUGGCGGAAGGAUCCCGUUGGCUCCUGCCCAGCACUGGAGGACAAUGGGAAACCAGUGAAGAAGAUCCAGCCGGUGAAGGGCGCAGGGAGGAUGGCGCCGCUUCACCCAGAGCCAGAGCCCCUGGGGUUUCUUGGACUCAGAUUAUCCCAGACAACAAUUGCCCUGAGCGGAGUCAAGCCCCAGCUGGGGUAUUUGUUGCUCCCUUAGGGCUUCUGUUUUUCUAAUGCAAUUUUGCCAACCCCAAAGGUUUGUGCUGUCAUUUAACCUCCCACACCCUGCUGGUCAGAGACCCGGGGCUCAGAGUGAGCAGCCCCGGAGCCAUAUUCAUGGGCGUCCCACGCCUGACCUGCCUUCAGAGAGCAGGGAAGGGGCAGCUCGAACUUUGCUGCUAGUUUGGAUCACGGGGCAAACCCCUCUCCCUGCUCCUGGGCUGGGGUGACGGGCUCUGCACAGGGCGCUCUGAGGGGAAAGCCCUGUAGACCCAUGCCUACGACCCUGCCCUGGGAGCCAGGUGAUGGCAUCAGACCUGGGACUUCCAUAUAUGUCAGUUUUUAAUCCUCAAGGAUGCCAAGAACAACUCACAUGGUGACCCGGGUGUAACCAAUGCAGUGACACUGCCUGAGUCUGCGGAGAGCCUGAGUCAAUUGGUCUGGAUGGACAGGACACAACGACACAGUGACCAAUGCAGCGACCCCUGCCUGCAUUUACUGAGAGCCUGAAUGCUGAGUUCCCAUACAACCCUAUGGACCUUGCUGUGUCACAGCGGAGCUGUCAAUCACAAGGUAUUCAAGGUUGCUCUGUUUAGCAUUAUUUUGAGUUGUUACUGGGAGGAUCUGCAGCUGUUUCUUAUCUGUCCCUCUGGCUCAACUCCUUAUCUCCUCCUUGGGACUUAUGGGUGAUUGAUAAUAAAGUUGGUGCCCCUUGACUCCUCCACUCCCUUCUGGACCAUCCAGCCCAGCUGUCCUGUCUCAGUUAAUCACCGGACAUUCUUCACUCACACCAGCCAGCAAAUAAGGCAAUUACAGCCCUAAACCUGCUCCCGUUAGGAACGAUUUCUUCUCACUAAUUCAAAGCUGGCAAAAUGGAAUAUAAGGCAAAAUAAGCAACAUGGAGUACAAUUUGACUUGAGACAAUACCUUCCCCUUAGGCUUUUGGCCUACACCAUUACCCUAAAGGGCCACUGUGGUGGGAAUUCAUUGUUUCAUUUCCUAUAGUGCUCGCUAGUCCUAUCUGAACAGUGCGACAGGGGAAAUAUUUCAUGUAUAUGAUU